rfam:Triticum aestivum genome assembly, contig: Triticum_aestivum_CS42_TGACv1_scaffold_603968_7DL
CAUGUACUCCCUCCGUCCCAAAAUUCUUGUCUUAAAUUUGUCUAAAUACGGAUGUAUCAUGUCACUUUUUAGUAUUAGAUACAUCCGUAUCUAGACUAAUCUAAGACAAGAAUUUUGGGACGGAGGGAGUAUUUA